UACGGGGGGGGCAAGCGUUGUUCGGAAUUACUGGGCGUAAAGGGUUCGUAGGUGGCUGGCUAAGUCAGACGUGAAAUCCCUCAGCUUAACUGGGGAACUGCGUCUGAUACUGGCAAGCUUGAGUGCAGGAGAGGAACGCGGAAUUCCUGGUGUAGCGGUGGAAAUGACGCAGAUAUCAGGAGGAACACCGGUGGCGAAGGCGGUUCUCUGGGCAUUACCUGACGCUGAGGAGCGAAAGUGUGGGGAGCGAACAGGG
rnacentral:rRNA from 1 species